rnacentral:rRNA from 1 species
GAUGAACGCUGGCGGCGUGCCUAAUACAUGCAAGUCGAGCGAACAGACGAGGAGCUUGCUCCUCUGACGUUAGCGGCGGACGGGUGAGUAACACGUGGAUAACCGACCUAUAAGACUGGGAUAACUUCGGGAAACCGGAUCUAAUACCGGAUCAUAUAUUGAACCGCAUGGUUCAAUAGUGAAAGACGGUUUUGCUGUCACUUAUAGAUGGAUCCGCGCCGCAUUAGCUAGUUGGUAAGGUAACGGCUUACCAAGGCAACGAUGCGUAGCCGACCUGAGAGGGUGAUCGGCCACACUGGAACUGAGACACGGUCCAGACUCCUACGGGAGGCAGCAGUAGGGAAUCUUCCGCAAUGGGCGAAAGCCUGACGGAGCAACGCCGCGUGAGUGAUGAAGGUCUUCGGAUCGUAAAACUCUGUUAUUAGGGAAGAACAAAUGUGUAAGUAACUAUGCACGUCUUGACGGUACCUAAUCAGAAAGCCACGGCUAACUACGUG